rnacentral:pre_miRNA from 1 species
CGUGUGGAAGGAAUCGCUCGACGACGUGCCGAUGAAUCUGGAAACUGCACUCGAUCGAUCGAAUCCAUCCACACG